rnacentral:rRNA from 1 species
GCUUAAGAACAAGUCACACGGAAUGUACCUGAUCUCGGAAGCUAAGCAGGUUUGAGCCUGGACAUUGCUUUGAUGGGUGACCGCCUAUGCAUAAGCAGGUGCUAUAGGCG